ACGGGGGGUGCAAGCGUUGUUCGGAAUCAUUGGGCGUAAAGCGCGCGCAGGCGGCUUGGUAAGUCAGAUGUGAAAUCCCUGGGCUUAACCCAGGAAGUGCAUUUGAUACUGCCUCGCUAGAGUACGGGAGAGGAAAGUGGAAUUCCUGGUGGAGAGGUGGAAUUCGGAGAGAUGAGGAGGAACAGCGGUGGCGAAGGGGGCUAUCUGGCCCGAUACUGACGCUAGGGCGUGUAUGCGUGGGGAGCAAAGAG
rnacentral:rRNA from 1 species